CUGCGCGGCGGAGGCGCCUCGCGGAGCGGCUGCGCCCGAGGUCAGUGAUUUAAAAAGUGCCUUUGUGAAGUCACUUUUGCGAGAGAGGACUGCUACGCCCGUGCUUUCAAAAUACUGUCUUUGCCAGCUAGCCAUUGCCUUGACCUUGCACGUGGCAGAAGAUACCUCAGCCAUCUCGCUUUGCCAAUUCAUCGAUGUGAAACAAUCUUCAAGGUAAAAAGACGACGACGACAGCGAAGAUCUAUCACUGGGCCACAAGCAGAUGACUGCAUUGCAUUUCUUGUGCAAUCACCACCAGCGAGUGAUCUGCGAGGGAUUGCUGCUCUCCCAAGGAGUGCCAUUGCAUUGAAGAACCUUGACUUCAAACUGGAGUGUCAGUGACACACUCAACGGACCCCGGCGUUUUACAGACAGAAAUGCUACUGAGCAUGUUUUUUUUCAGCCAAAAGUCUACAAGUGGGACUUAAUGAUUGAUGAGUGACUGUUUGCUGAUAAAGUUUCUCUAGUUUUUUUCCUUUGUGUGUGUUGGACAUUCUUAAUCCUCCCCCGCCACUUUCAAAAACAAAAAACAAACA